AGAGUUUGAUCCUGGCUCAGGAUGAACGCUGGCAGCGUGCUUAACACAUGCAAGUCGAACGGAGGGCGCAAGCCCUCAGUGGCGCACGGGUGCGGAGAACGCAGCUAACCUGCCUCGAAAUGGGGGAUAACGCGGCGAAAGCUGUGCUAAUACCGCAUACGCUUCCGGGAAUUAGUAUUCCGGAAGGAAAGGCUUCGGUCGUUUCGAGAGGGGGCUGCGGCCCAUCAGGCCGUUGGUGUGGUAACGGCGCACCAAACCGAAGACGGGUCGCGGGUCUGAGAGGAUGACCCGCCACACUGGGACUGAGAGACGGCCCAGACUCCUACGGGAGGCAGCAGUGAGGAAUAUUGGUCAAUGGGGGCAACCCUGAACCAGCGACGCCGCGUGAGGGACGAAGGCUUUCGGGUCGUAAACCUCUUUUCUGCGUGACGAGCAAGGACGGUAGCGCAGGAAUAAGUCUCGGCUAACUACGUGCCAGCCGCCGCGGUAAUUC
rnacentral:rRNA from 1 species